rnacentral:rRNA from 1 species
AUUCCAGCUCCAAUAGCGUAUAUUAAAGUUGUUGCGGUUAAAAAGCUCGUAGUUGGAGUUCUGCCAGGUGCCACCUGUCCGCCCCAGUGGUGAGUACGUGGUGCGCAUUUGGCCCUUUCAAGGGGAGCGUAUUUGCACUUAAUUGUGUGGUGCGGGAUCCUUGACUUUUACUUUGAGGAAAUAAGAGUGUUCCAAGCAGGCUCUCGUCGUGCAUAGCUCAGCAUGGAAUAAUAGCAUUGGACCUCGAUUCUAAGCUGUUGGUUGCCAGAAGCGAGGUAAUGAUUAAUAGGGACAGUCGGGGGCAUUUGUAUUCAAACGACAGGGGUGAAAUUCUUGGACCGUUUGAAGACAAACUACUGCGAAAGCAUUUGCCAAGAAUGUUUUCAUUG